GGAAGGUGGGGAUGACGUCAAGUCCUCAUGGCCCUUAUGGGUAGGGCUUCACACGUCAUACAAUGGUCGGAACAGAGGGUUGCCAACCCGCGAGGGGGAGCUAAUCCCAGAAAACCGAUCGUAGUCCGGAUUGCACUCUGCAACUCGAGUGCAUGAAGCUGGAAUCGCUAGUAAUCGCGGAUCAGCAUGCCGCGGUGAAUACGUUCCCGG
rnacentral:rRNA from 1 species